rnacentral:rRNA from 1 species
GACAGAGGGUGCAAACGUUGUUCGGAAUUACUGGGCGUAAAGCGAGUGUAGGCGGUCUGCUAAGUCGGGUGUGAAAGCCCCGGGCUCAACCCGGGAAGUGCACUCGAAACUGGCAGGCUAGAGUGUCGGAGAGGUUGGUGGAAUUCUCGGUGUAGAGGUGAAAUUCGUAGAUAUCGAGAGGAACACCGGUGGCGAAGGCGGCCAACUGGACGAACACUGACGCUGAGACUCGAAAGCGUGGGGAGCGAACAGG